AGUUAUUUCAAUUUUUUAUUCAAUUAAAAAAUGAAUAAAUUUAUUGCAUUGGGUAUUUUUGUGGCUUUUACUUUGGUAAAUAAGAAUAAUCCAUAUUCAUCUAAUAAUCAAAUUCCGAGAAAUAAAUUUCUUUUUUUUUCAAUUCUGUAUCCGUGGGCAUGAAGAAAAUCUCUUUGGGUGAAUCUUUUAGUAAUGUAAUGUUGCCUAUUGAACCUUUAAGUGGGAGAAUUGAUAUGGUCCCGCAAAAUAUCCUGAAGCAGCGAAAGAAUUAAAUGGUUCCAAAUGGAUAAAUAAAUGCUGUGGUAUGUCUGGCGUUGGUCAAUGAUAUAAAAAAAACUAAAAUUGAUUAUGAUCACCAAAAUCCGUAAUGUAUUUUCAGUAUUUAAUUCUUUGGAUUUAUUUUUAUUUAUAACAUGUUUGGAUAUUGCCAGCCAUAUAAUUCAACUCAUCUGGAUGACAUCGGGUGCUGAAAGAGAGCGACAACUAUAGAAGUGAAUCACUUCUAUUGUUUUCAUUCCGUUUAUUUAAUUGAGCUUUAGAUUAGCAUCUAUUCAACAUGAUUAUAAAUAUCAAUUCGAUUUCUUUUGUUUUUGUUUAUGAAAGAAGAAGAAGGUAUUAUUGGUCUAAUCAACAAGCAGUUUCUUGCCUUUCAACUAUUUUAUGGAGAUGAACAUUUUGUUCUCGACGCAAACACUGAGGAUUUCCUUUUCACCUACCUGAAUGAAUAUGCUGAUUUUUUGAAGAAACUCUAUAAUUUGCGAAAAUGUUACAGAUCAUCAACUACGCUUGCUAUGCAGAAUAUGAUCGAAAAAAUGUGUGUCGAUAUGCAUACAAACAUGUGCUGGAUGGAAUCAGUCGUUGGCGAGCCAUUAUUUCAAGUUUGUUUUGAUGAACAUCGCAUCCGAUGAUUGUCCACAGUGGAAGUGUAUAACAUCAAGUAGUAAUUGAGACAAAUCGAAUAAAAGACACAUUUCAAUUUGACAAUAAA